UGAGGUGUGGAUAGGGGAGAAAUUCCAAUCGAACCCGGAGAUAGCUGGUUCUCCUCGAAAUAGCUUUAGGGCUAGCCUCUGGUUAGUCUGCCGCAGGUAGAGCACUGAAUUUCCUAGGGGGCGUCAAAGCCUACCGAAGAAUAUCAAACUGCGAAUGGCGGACAGAUGAUGCCAGGGAGUCAGACUGCACGAGAUAAGUUGGGUGGUCAAAAGGGAAAGAGCCCAGACCUACAGCUAAGGUCCCAAAGUGUGUGUUAAGUGGAAAAGGAUGUGGGAUUUCGAAGACAACUAGGAUGUUGGCUCAGAAGCAGCCACACAUUAAAAGAGUGCGUAAUAGCUCACUAGUCGAGAGGUCCUGCGCCGAAAAUGUCCGGGGCUAAAACACAACACCGAAGCUUAGGAAUUCUAAUGAAUUGGUAGAGGAGCAUUGAAGACGGAACGAAGCCAUACCGUAAGGAAUGGUGGACUGUCUUGAAGAGAGAAUGCCGGAAUGAGUAGCGAGAUUGAAGUGAGAAUCUUCAAGGCCGAAUAUCUAAGGUUUCCAGGGUAAAGCUGAUCUGCCCUGGGUAAGUCGGGGCCUAAGGCAAGGUCGAAAGACGUAGUCGAUGGAUAACAGGUUGAAAUUCCUGUACUGCAUCAAAUCAGAAAUGUGGGGACACAUGAGGGAAGCAUGAGCCGGAAAAGGAAAGUCCGGUACAAGCGCAGCAGAGGACAGAUAGGCAAAACCGUCUGUCAACUCGAGGGCGUGAUGUGGAGCGAACCAAAGUAGCGAAGCAUGUGGAGCUUGUGUCGAGAAAAGCCGCUAUAGUGUUUGAUGUACCCGUACCGUAAACCGACACAGGUGGAUGAGGAGAGAAUCCUAAGGCCGGCGGGAGAAGCAUUGUUAAGGAACUCGGCAAAAUGACCCCGUAACUUCGGGAGAAGGGGUGCUCCAGAGAUGGAGCCGCAGAGAACUGGCCCAAGCAACUGUUUAGCAAAAACACAGGUCUAUGCAAAACCGAAAGGUGAGGUAUAUGGGCUGACGCCUGCCCGGUGCUGGAAGGUUAAGAGGAGAUGUUAGCCGCAAGGUGAAGCAUUGAAUUUAAGCCCCAGUAAACGGCGGCCGUAACUAUAACGGUCCUAAGGUAGCGAAAUUCCUUGUCGGGUAAGUUC
rnacentral:rRNA from 1 species